rnacentral:rRNA from 1 species
GACGAACGCUGGCGGCGUGCCUAAUACAUGCAAGUAGAACGCACAGUUUAUACCGUAGCUUGCUACACCAUAGACUGUGAGUUGCGAACGGGUGAGUAACGCGUAGGUAACCUGCCUGGUAGCGGGGGAUAACUAUUGGAAACGAUAGCUAAUACCGCAUAAUAUUAUUUAUUGCAUGAUAAUUAAUUGAAAGGUGCAAUUGCACCACUACCAGAUGGACCUGCGUUGUAUUAGCUAGUAGGUGAGGUAACGGCUCACCUAGGCGACGAUACAUAGCCGACCUGAGAGGGUGAUCGGCCACACUGGGACUGAGACACGGCCCAGACUCCUACGGGAGGCAGCAGUAGGGAAUCUUCGGCAAUGGACGAAAGUCUGACCGAGCAACGCCGCGUGAGUGAAGAAGGUUUUCGGAUCGUAAAGCUCUGUUGUAAGAGAAGAACGGGUGUGAGAGUGGAAAGUUCACACUGUGACGGUAUCUUACCAGAAAGGGACGGCUAACUACGUG